rnacentral:tRNA from 1 species
AAAUAAGAAACAAAAAAUUGUAAUUAGUUUCGACCUAAUCUUUGGCUUAAGCCCUUAUUUA